UACGAGUUUGAUCAUGGCUCAGAUUGAACGCUGGCGGCAUGCCUAACACAUGCAAGUCGAACGGCAGCACAGCACGUAGCAAUACAUGCGGGUGGCGAGUGGCGGACGGGUGAGUAACGCGUGGGAAUCUGCCCUAUAGUGGGGGACAACCCGACGAAAGUCGGGCUAAUACCGCAUACGCCCUACGGGGAAAGGCUUCGGCCGCUAUUGGAUGAGCCCGCGUCGGAUUAGCUAGUUGGUGAGGUAAUGGCUCACCAAGGCGACGAUCCGUAGCUGGUCUGAGAGGACGAUCAGCCACACUGGGACUGAGACACGGCCCAGACUCCUACGGGAGGCAGCAGUGGGGAAUAUUGCACAAUGGGCGAAAGCCUGAUGCAGCAAUGCCGCGUGUGUGAAGAAGGCCUGCGGGUUGUAAAGCACUUUCGGUAGGGAAGAGUAAUGACGGUACCUACAGAAGAAGACACCGGCUAAACUCCGUG
rnacentral:rRNA from 1 species